GUUCGAGCGCGAAGCACUUCGGUGUGAGUAGAGCGGCGGACGGGUGAGUAACGCGUAAGAAUCUACCUAGUAGUGGGGGACAACUCGGGGAAACUCGAGCUAAUACCGCAUACGCCCUACGGGGGAAAGCGGGGGACCUUCGGGCCUCGUGCUAUUAGAUGAGCUUGCGUUGGAUUAGCUUGUUGGUGGGGUAAUGGCCCACCAAGGCGACGAUCCAUAGCUGGUCUGAGAGGAUGAUCAGCCACACCGGGACUGAGACACGGCCCGGACUCCUACGGGAGGCAGCAGUGGGGAAUAUUGCGCAAUGGGCGAAAGCCUGACGCAGCCAUGCCGCGUGUGUGAAGAAGGCCCUAGGGUUGUAAAGCACUUUCAAUUGGGAGGAAAAGCUAACGACUAAUACUCGUUAGCCCUGACGUUACCUUUAGAAGAAGCACCGGCUAACUCCGUGCCAGCAGCCGCGGUAAUACGGAGGGUGCAAGCGUUAAUCGGAAUUACUGGGCGUAAAGCGCGCGUAGGCGGCUUUUUAAGUCGGAUGUGAAAGCCCCGGGCUCAACCUGGGAACUGCACCCGAUACUGGAAGGCUAGAGUGCGAGAGAGGGAGGUAGAAUUCCAUGUGUAGCGGUGAAAUGCGUAGAUAUAUGGAGGAAUACCAGUGGCGAAGGCGGCCUCCUGGCUCGACACUGACGCUGAGGUGCGAA
rnacentral:rRNA from 1 species